rnacentral:lncRNA from 1 species
CACCUUUUUGACAUUUAGGAAGAUGGGAUCUUGGAUACUGUAAUUUCCUUGGAUACCAAGGAAAGUCUACACAAAGAAUGAUUUUGCCAUCAAUACAUUAAAAAAUGACUUUGAAGCAGAUGUGUAUUUUGUAAAAGUGUGUGUUCCUAGUGGUCUGUGUUCUAAUGACUGUCUUCAUAAAAUAACACCUUUUGGAGUGAAUCAACCUGAGCCAUAUAUGGUGUAUACAGCUGUAGAUGCCAAUGGAUAACUGAAAAAUGUCUCAGCUGGACAACUUGGCCAAUCAGCACAUUUAGCUCCUCAACUACCAUACAAUGUACUUGGCUCAGAUCGUAGUGAAAACUUUCCUGACCAUCUUUAUGUUGGAAUUCCUUGUCCUUCUAGAGAGACAUCUGUACAAAAACAAGAGUGGACUAUAAUCAUUCCAAAUUCCCAGCUAAUUGUCAUUCCAUACCUUCACACUGUCUUGUGAAGCUGGGGUGUCAAACUAUGUUACACCAAGUAACAUCCUUCUACUUACUGCUAUAGAUCUCAUGGAUGUCUGU